CGAUUCUGAGAGAUGCCUAAUACCCACAGCUCUCCUUAGCAGAGCCUGACCCUGCCUGCCUCCAGAUGCCUGAUUAUUGGUCUGCUCUCAGGCUUCUCCUGGACUCUGACCUCCUGGUACCUGGUUUGGCCUGACUCCCAACUCUCAGUCCAACCGAAGGAACUGACUGCCCUCUUCCUGGUUGUGAAACACGUAGUUUUAACAGACACCUUUUGUGCAGGUAUCAAAUAACUUUCAUCAACUUCAGUUCAUGCUGAGGACAGGAUUGGACCCAAGGUGUCUCCUCCUCUGCCUCCCCCACCCCCUGGAAUUAACAUUGAUAAUAUGAAUAGCAGAGCAACAAAGCAAGAAACCUUACUUCCUCUAGACACAGAUUCACUACCGAGAAAAACAGAAGAGUGGUAAUACAAAACAAAGAAUUCACUGAUUUUAAUAUGAUAUUUUCUGAAAACUAGGGACAUACACCAAAAUUUUCCAAAGUGGGUACAGGGAUGGGAUGUAUGAGCCUCACAUUGGUGAACUGGGGGUUUCAGAAUAGCUUUAGGGCCAGAAGGCCCCACCCAGCUGUACCUGCUGGGAAUGAUCACACUGGAGGUGGGGUUCGAAAGGGAGCAUCUGAGGUCAGUCUGGGUGGACAGAGCAAAGGGUGGAGGCAGUUGUGUGCUGCAGGCUCCUGCAGAGAAACUGCCAGGACUCGUCCCCAUGCUGAGCCACCACUGGCCUUUCACCCCAUGUACACUGGGAAUGACGGACCACCACUGAUAGAGGAAGACCUUCCAGAACUCCAGCAGGAAUCCAGGAACAGACUAGUGGCACUGACAGAGGAACCAAAGCCGGCUUAGGAAGUGGCACAUGGAACAGGUGUAAGAGAGUACCUUGAUCACACAUGUGAGCUAUUAUUCACAGGGUCCUAGAUUGGAACCUGGUGGAGCAGAAAGGGCCCAGGUUCCCCAGUGCAGGCCACUGACUCUUACCACUGACCAAUAUGGCCACUGGCUGUAGCCACUGGGUGGUACUGCCAAGUUUGGAGUUCAGCCCCCUAACAGGUACCUAAAUCUAUUGAUUUAACUGGAAGAUAUGGGUGUUGAGCUCCUCUGAAAAUCAUGCCAUUUAUUAGGAUGUCUAAAUAUGGACUUAGAUGCCCAAAUUUAGACUUUCACUUCUGACCACAGUGGAUUUUUUAAAAUUGGACACUUAAGGAGAAAUGUAUCUAGCAGGGGGGAACUGCAAUAGACUCAUAAGGCAGAGAAACCAUUUCAAUUCCACUGUUGGGAAGAGAGUGAGCACAGAGAUUCUAUUCAGGGAGAUUUUUCAAUCCCCUGAAAGCCAUACAGCUGAUAAAUUAGGUAUUCCAUUCAAUAUAUGGAGAAAAGGUUAUGGCUGAUUCCUAGAGGUGAUAAUGUGUUGCACUGAGAACUGUGUUGGACUUACAUGUUAGAACUUUAAGAAUGGGGAGACAAGGAAUGUUCCUGGUCCUUCUUGCAGGCUAGGGGGCUCAGCAGCAAAGCUUGUGAUGAUGUAAUGUACUUAGACUUCUGUAAGGGGUUUGACAUAGUACUGCAUGGCAUUUUGAUUAAAAAACUAGAAAGAUAUAAAAUUAACACA